AUCCAUCUGACUAGUCCUAAAUAGAACGAAACACGCGUUCUAGAU
rnacentral:hammerhead_ribozyme from 1 species